UUAUCGGAGAGUUUGAUCCUGGCUCAGGACGAACGCUGGCGGCGUGCCUAAUACAUGCAAGUCGAGCGGACAGAUGGGA
rnacentral:rRNA from 4 species